rnacentral:rRNA from 1 species
UGCGAACUCCUACGGGAGGCAGCAGUGAGGAAUAUUGGUCAAUGGGCGAGAGCCUGAACCAGCCAAGUAGCGUGCAGGACGACGGCCCUAUGGGUUGUAAACUGCUUUUAUAAGGGAAUAAAGUGGGUCUCGUGAGACUUUUUGCAUGUACCUUAUGAAUAAGGACCGGCUAAUUCCGUGCCAGCAGCCGCGGUAAUACGGAAGGUCCGGGCGUUAUCCGGAUUUAUUGGGUUUAAAGGGAGCGUAGGCCGGAGAUUAAGCGUGUUGUGAAAUGUAGUGGCUCAACCUCUGCACUGCAGCGCGAACUGGUCUUCUUGAGUACGCACAACGUGGGCGGAAUUCGUGGUGUAGCGGUGAAAUGCUUAGAUAUCACGAAGAACUCCGAUUGCGAAGGCAGCUCACGGGAGCGCAACUGACGCUGAAGCUCGAAAGUGCGGGUAUCGAACAGGAUUAGAAACCCUAGUAGUCCAGAUG